rnacentral:tRNA from 1 species
GGGGGUGUAGCUCAGAGGUAGAGCGCUCGCUUUGCAUGCGAGAAGUCCGGGUUCGAUCCCCGGCUCCUCCA